AGCUUUGCGCAGUGGCAGUAUGGUAGCCAAUGAGGUUUAUCUGAGGCAUGAUUAUUGCUAAUUGAAAAUUUUUCCCAAUACCCUGCCAUGACGACUUGCAAUAUAGUGAAAUAAUUUAUACAACUCGCCAUAGGUUG
rnacentral:snRNA from 1 species